rnacentral:rRNA from 1 species
CCUACGGGAGGCAGCAGUGAGGAAUAUUGGUCAAUGGACGAGAGUCUGAACCAGCCAAGUAGCGUGAAGGAUGACUGCCCUAUGGGUUGUAAACUUCUUUUAUAUGGGAAUAAAACGUUCCACGUGUGGGAUUUUGUAUGUACCAUAUGAAUAAGGAUCGGCUAACGCCGUGCCAGCAGCCGCGGUAAUACGGAGGAUCCGAGCGUUAUCCGGAUUUAUUGGGUUUAAAGGGAGCGUAGGUGGAUUGUUAAGUCAGUUGUGAAAGUUUGCGGCUCAACCGUAAAAUUGCAGUUGAAACUGGCAGUCUUGAGUACAGUAGAGGUGGGCGGAAUUCGUGGUGUAGCGGUGAAAUGCUUAGAUAUCACGAAGAACUCCGAUUGCGAAGGCAGUUCACUGGACUGCAACUGACACUGAGGCUCGAAAGUGUGGGUAUCAAACAGGAUUAGAUACCCCAGUAGUC